UGAGAGCUCUACAUCGAAGGAGUAGCGGUCGACGGUGGCCCCGAGCCAUGCGUCGGCGUUCCGUGAGGGCGCAGCGAAGCGUUGGACAGGGGUGGGCUAUUGAGCCACGAAAUGAGAGAGUCCGGGGGUGCCGACGUCGUCGAACUUGGCGGAAGGCAACAUCGUCGGCUGCGCUAUCGCGAGUCGUCGAUGGACCCCGCGCGGUCAGAGAACC
rfam:Mycobacterium doricum strain DSM 44339 contig_5, whole genome shotgun sequence.